rnacentral:rRNA from 1 species
ACGAACGCUGGCGGCGUGGCUUAACACAUGCAAGUCGAGCGGAAAGGCCUUUCGGGGGUACUCGAGCGGCGAACGGGUGAGUAACACGUGAGUAAUCUGCCCUUGGCUUUGGGAUAACUACCGGAAACGGUGGCUAAUACCGGAUAUGACCAUGCUCGGCAUCGGGUGUGGUGGAAAGUUUUUUCGGCCAGGGAUGUGCUCGCGGCCUAUCAGCUUGUUGGUGGGGUAAUGGCCUACCAAGGCUUCGACGGGUAGCCGGCCUGAGAGGGUGACCGGCCACACUGGGACUGAGACACGGCCCAGACUCCUACGGGAGGCAGCAGUGGGGAAUAUUGGACAAUGGGCGGAAGCCUGAUCCAGCAACGCCGCGUGAGGGAUGACGGCCUUCGGGUUGUAAACCUCUUUCAGUACCGACGAAGCGCCGAUGAUGGUGGUGACGGUAGGUACAGAAGAAGCACCGGCCAACUACGUG